rnacentral:rRNA from 1 species
AUUGAACGCUGGCGGCAUGCCUUACACAUGCAAGUCGAACGGCAGCACGGGAGCAAUCCUGGUGGCGAGUGGCGAACGGGUGAGUAAUAUAUCGGAACGUGCCCAGUCGUGGGGGAUAACGUAGCGAAAGCUACGCUAAUACCGCAUACGAUCUAUGGAUGAAAGCGGGGGAUCGCAAGACCGCGCGCGAUUGGGGCGGCCGAUAUCGAAUUAGGUAGUUGGUGAGGUAAAGGCUCACCAAGCCGACGAUCUGUAGCUGGUCUGAGAGGACGACCAGCCACACUGGGACUGAGACACGGCCCAGACUCCUACGGGAGGCAGCAGUGGGGAAUUUUGGACAAUGGGCGCAAGCCUGAUCCAGCAAUGCCGCGUGCAGGAUGAAGGCCUUCGGGUUGUAAACUGCUUUUGUACGGAACGAAACGGCGAGCUCUAAUACAGUUUGCUAAUGACGGUACCGUAAGAAUAAGCACCGGCUAACUACGUGCCAGCCGCCGCCGUAA